CAGUCGCCGCGGUAAUACGGAGGGUGCAAGCGUUAAUCGGAAUUACUGGGCGUAAAGCGCACGCAGGCGGUUUGUUAAGUCAGAUGUGAAAUCCCCGAGCUUAACUUGGGAACUGCAUUUGAAACUGGCAAGCUAGAGUCUUGUAGAGGGGGGUAGAAUUCCAGGUGUAGCGGUGAAAUGCGUAGAGAUCAGGAGGAAUACCGGUGGCGAAGGCGGCCCCCUGGACAAAGACUGACGCUCAGGUGCGAAAGCGUGGGGAGCAAACAGGAUUAGAUACCCCUGUAGUCCCUGUCUCUUAUAC
rnacentral:rRNA from 1 species